rnacentral:rRNA from 1 species
UGCUGCAUGGCUGUCGUCAGCUCGUGCCGUGAGGUGUUGGGUUAAGUCCCGCAACGAGCGCAACCCUAUUGCCAGUUGCUACCAGGUAAUGCUGGGCACUCUGGUGAGACUGCCCCGGUUAACGGGGAGGAAGGUGGGGACGACGUCAAGUCAUCAUGGCCCUUACGCCUAGGGCUACACACGUACUACAAUGGCGCAUACAAAGGGCAGCGAUACCGCGAGGUGGAGCCAAUCCCAAAAAGUGCGUCCCAGUCCGGAUUGCAGUCUGCAACUCGACUGCAUGAAGUUGGAAUCGCUAGUAAUUCGAGAUCAGCAUGCUCGGGUGAAUGCGUUCCCGGGCCUU